rnacentral:rRNA from 1 species
CCUACGGGUGGCAGCAGUGAGGAAUAUUGGUCAAUGGGCGCGAGCCUGAACCAGCCAAGUAGCGUGAAGGAUGACUGCCCUACGGGUUGUAAACUUCUUUUAUAAAGGAAUAAAGUGAGGCACGUGUGCCUUUUUGUAUGUACUUUAUGAAUAAGGAUCGGCUAACUCCGUGCCAGCAGCCGCGGUAAUACGGAGGAUCCGAGCGUUAUCCGGAUUUAUUGGGUUUAAAGGGAGCGUAGAUGGGUUGUUAAGUCAGUUGUGAAAGUUUGCGGCUCAACCGUAAAAUUGCAAUUGAUACUGGCCGUCUUGAGUACAGGUGAGGUAAGUGGAAUUCGUGGUGUAGCGGUGAAAUGCUUAGAUAUUACGAAGAACCCCAGUGGCGAAGGCGACUUUCUAAACGGGCACUGACAUUGAUGCUCGAAAGUGUGGGUAUCAAACAGGAUUAGAUACCCCGGUAGUC